rnacentral:rRNA from 1 species
AGUGAACGCUGGCGGUAGGCCUAACACAUGCAAGUCGAACGGCAGCACAGAGGAGCUUGCUCCUUGGGUGGCGAGUGGCGGACGGGUGAGGAAUACAUCGGAAUCUACUCUGUCGUGGGGGAUAACGUAGGGAAACUUACGCUAAUACCGCAUACGACCUACGGGUGAAAGCAGGGGACCUUCGGGCCUUGCGCGAUUGAAUGAGCCGGUGUCGGAUUAGCUAGUUGGCGGGGUAAAGGCCCACCAAGGCGACGAUCCGUAGCUGGUCUGAGAGGAUGCUCAGCCACACUGGAACUGAGACACGGUCCAGACUCCUACGGGAGGCAGCAGUGGGGAACAUUGGACAAUGGGCGCAAGCCUGAUCCAGCCAUACCGCGUGGGUGAAGAAGGCCUUCGGGUUGUAAAGCCCUUUUGUUGGGAAAGAAAUCCAGCUGGCUAAUACCCGGUUGGGAUGACGGUACCCAAAGAAUAAGCACCGGCUAACUUCGUGCCAGCCGCCGCCGUAA